GAUGAACGCUAGCGGCAGGCUUAAUACAUGCAAGUCGUGGGGCAGCAUGAGUGUAGCAAUACAUUUGAUGGCGACCGGCAAACGGGUGCGGAACACGUACACAACCUUCCUAUAAGUGGGGAAUAGCCCAGAGAAAUUUGGAUUAAUACCCCGUAACGUAACGAUGUGGCAUCACAUUGUUAUUAUAGCUUCGGCGCUUAUCGAUGGGUGUGCGGCUGAUUAGAUAGUUGGCGGGGUAACGGCCCACCAAGUCUACGAUCAGUAGCUGAUGUGAGAGCAUGAUCAGCCACACGGGCACUGAGACACGGGCCCGACUCCUACGGGAGGCAGCAGUAAGGAAUAUUGGUCAAUGGACGCAAGUCUGAACCAGCCAUGCCGCGUGAAGGAUUAAGGUCCUCUGGAUUGUAAACUUCUUUUAUCUGGGACGAAAAAAGGCUUUUCUAAGUCACUUGACGGUACCAGAUGAAUAAGCACCGGCUAACUCCGUGCCAGCCGCCGCAGUAACAC
rnacentral:rRNA from 1 species